ensembl:snRNA U6 U6 spliceosomal RNA
GUAUGCUACCUUCACCACACAUAUAGUAAAACUGGAAUGAUACAUAGAGAUUAACAUAGCACCUGAGGAAGGACAAAGUAUGAAUUCAUGGUGCAUUCCAUGUUUUG